GCGCACGCGCGAGGGGCGCGCCGCCACUCGCCAGGCCCUGGCGGCAGGGCGAACCAAGGCGCGUGCGCGAAAGGAGGGACGGGGGGGGCGUUAAAGGGGCCGCGGCCCGGGAAAGGCACGGUGCUGCCACCUAGGGGACGGCGGGGGUAGGGCCCCGGGGGGCCCGGCGGGGGUCUGGGGCCCUGGGACGCUGGGUGGGCCUGAGGGAGGGAGGCUGGCUGGGGGCCCCAACGAGAGAGAGGGCCCUGAGAGGCCGGGUGGGCCUGGCGGUGCUGGGGGCCCUGGGGGCGAUGGAGGGCCCCGGGGUGCUGGACCGCAGCAGGGCCCCGGGAGCCCCAGAGCAGGCAGUGGUGAGGGGGGGCUGCGGGACCUGGCACCGGGGGACGCGGGGGCCAGCGCACACCGGCUCAGUUGAUCUACUCCUCUUCCCAGGUGGAGGCCGAGAAGGCGCUGUAGGGGUCCGCGACGAGCUUGGCGCACCGCAUCACCACGGCCAGGAGGAAGAGGCACAUGAGCACCACAGAGGCCAUGGCGAAGCCCUCGUCCACGUCAACAGCUGGCGGCGCCGCAGUGCUCUCCAUGCGGGUGGCCCUCAGGUGCUUGGCCCCGAGUUCCAGGCUGCCGGGGGCAUCUCUGCAGGACAGAGGCAGCUGCAUUGCCCAGGCGUCGGGACUGCGCAAUCCCUGCAGUCUUAGGUGCAACAGGGACACCGGGACUUGGCAGACCCUUCACAGAAAGGACGGUGGCUUGGGUUAGAAGUGGGCCGGGAGUUUUUGUGGGCUGGGAAAAAACACCGGUAAGCAAACAGGGGUGGUAACGGAGGGUGUUCUGAUUGCUUAAGAGACCUUUGUAGCAGUGGACGGAUAGAUUUAUACAAGGUUGGAGAGAAGUGGAGGCUUGUUCAGACUAGUGCCAGGAAAGCCACAUGGACUGAGCUGUGUGUAUACAGGUCUAUCUAUAUAUAUAUUUAUGUGUUUAUAAAGCUAAUGCAUGCUCCAGGAGCAAGUGAGCACAGCCUGGACUAUACCAAGGAUGGCACGUGAUGCAAGAGGAUCUGCCCAGUGCUGCAGUGCCCAGAGAUUGCUGGAAGCCCCCAGGUCUGAGUCUAGUCCCAUGUGUGCUGUUUGGGGCUGUUCCUUACCUCCCCACGGAUGGAUGGACAGAUGGGCUGGUUGCUGUGCCCCGCUCGCUGCCCCGCUGUCUGCGGCCCUAGCGUUGUCCCUGACCGUGGCUGCCUUCUGUCACCAGGGCUUCAUGAAUACUGCAGGAAUGUGGCGACAUCACCUUUCAGGCACUCCCAGUAAUGGGAUCCUGUGGAUUAAAUUCUAACCCCCUUGAGCUGAAAGUAUUUCCAGUACCUUCUUUGCCUCGCGGUUGAGGAUUUGUGGGUUGCUUUGUGGGUCUUGCAGGGCCUGACAGGGGCACAGUACAAAGUGGGGAGUGUCAAGGAGGACAAAGGUGGCUUGUUCCCAAAAUAUAGCAAGCGCUAGGUCCCUAGGCUCCCUCUUGUGAGAUAAUUUGGAGAUGGUACUUGGCUGGCUUCAAAAAACGGUGACAACUUUUUGGAACAGCAACGCUUUGGGCUUUGAACUGAGCCACCCACUUGGCUCUUGUUAAACAGCCUUGCAACACGGCCCAGAAACAGCGUAAACACAGCAGAAGCGCGUGUCCCCGCAACAAUCUCUUUGUAUUUUU
ensembl:lncRNA